GAUGAACGCUAGCGGGAGGCCUAACACAUGCAAGCCGAGCGGUAGAAUCUUUUCGGAGAUUUGAGAGCGGCGUACGGGUGAGGAACACGUGUGCAACCUGCCUUUAUCUGGGAGAUAGCCUUUCGAAAGGAAGAUUAAUAUCCCAUAAUAUAUUGAGUGGCAUCACUUAAUAUUGAAAGCUCCGGCGGAUAGAGAUGGGCACGCGCAAGAUUAGAUAGUUGGUGAGGUAACGGCUCACCAAGUCUACGAUCUUUAGGGGGCCUGAGAGGGUGAUCCCCCACACUGGAACUGAGACACGGACCAGACUCCUACGGGAGGCAGCAGUGAGGAAUAUUGGACAAUGGGUGCAAGCCUGAUCCAGCCAUCCCGCGUGAAGGAUUAAGGUCCUAUGGAUUGUAAACUUCUUUUAUACAGGGAUAAACCUCUCCUCGUGAGGAGAGCUGAAGGUACUGUAUGAAUAAGCACCGGCUAACUCCGUGCCAGCAGCCGCGGUAA
rnacentral:rRNA from 1 species